AGCCGCCGCGGUAAUACGGAGGGUGCAAGCGUUAAUCGGAAUUACUGGGCGUAAAGCGCACGCAGGCGGUCUGACAAGUCAGAUGUGAAAUCCCCGGGCUUAACCUGGGAACUGCAUUUGAAACUGUCAGGCUGGAGUCUUGUAGAGGGGGGUAGAAUUCCAGGUGUAGCGGUGAAAUGCGUAGAGAUCUGGAGGAAUACCGGUGGCGAAGGCGGCCCCCUGGACAAAGACUGACGCUCAGGUGCGAAAGCGUGGGGAGCAAACAGGAUUAGAUACCCGGGUAGUCCCUGUCUCUAAUACA
rnacentral:rRNA from 1 species